ACAACAUCACUAGAGUAACUAAGGUGAAAAUAAAGAGAGUUCACAUAUUCAUGUCACCUUGGAGCCAAAUUUCAAAAAGUCAAGAGCUCAUAUUCAAGAAUCAUUCCAACCAAUCUCUUCCUCUCAUCCUGCUCUCUAUUCUCUUGUAAAAUUCUUAAAGGAAAUCAUCUUUAAAAUCUUUAAAAGUGAGGAAGUAUCACUUCCAAUCUCAAGAGAUCAUCAAGGAGUGCACACACAACACUCAAGCUUCAAGGGAGGAAGAAGUGAUCAAGAAAUUGCAAGAAGUAAAUUAAGGAGCUUAUAAGACAAGGUAUUUUCUGGCUGAAAUUGAGGGACCUGAGCAAAAAUCUGAUUCAGAGGCUGAAAAGGGCUGCAGAUGCUAUUGGAUUCUGACCUCCCUGCACUCGAAGUGGAUUUUCCGGAGCUACAGAAGCCCAAUUGGCGCGCCCUUAAUUGAGUUAGAAAGUAGACAUCCAGGGCUUUCUAGCAAUAUAUAAUAGUUCAUACUUUACCCGAGAUUUGAUGGCCAAAAUAGGCGUUCCAUGUUAGCUUCAGAAUUCCCGGCGUUAAACGUCGGAACUGGCACAAAAGUGGGAGUUAAACGCCCAAACUGGCACAAAAGCUGGCGUUUAACUCCAAGAAAAGUCUCUACACAUGGAAGCUUCAAUGCUCAGCCCAGGCACACACCAACUGGGCCCGGAAGUGGAUUUUUACGUCAUUUACUCAUUUUUGUAAACCCUAGGCUACUAGUUCUCUAUAAAUAGGACCUUUUGCUAUUGUAUUUGAAGAAUCUUUCAAUCUUCCGAUCAUCUUUUGAUCAUGUUUUUAUGAUUGAACCCUCUUUGGGAGGCUGGCCAUUCGGCCAUGCCUAGACCUUGUUCUUAUGU